CCGCCGAACGAACAGAGUUUUCCUUAUCUACCCAAAGCGUCACAAGUAUGUAUACACAAUAUAUUCCAACCAGGAAUUUAAUAUAUUGAUUGUAUAAGGAAAGUAUCACAAGAUAUAAAAGUUAAUACUACUUCUAUUAUAUAAUUUGUUUUAUUUAAUUACACAUAUUAUUUUUCUUUCAAAAAUACAAUCCAAAAUAUUACAUUACAUUUUCUUUGCUAGUACAUCGUCCAAAAUAG
rnacentral:lncRNA from 1 species